GGCCCACCGUGGCUUCGACGGGUAGCCGGCCUGAGAGGGCGACCGGCCACAUUGGGACUGAGAUACGGCCCAGACUCCUACGGGAGGCAGCAGUGGGGAAUAUUGCACAAUGGGCGCAAGCCUGAUGCAGCGACGCCGCGUGAGGGAUGGAGGCCUUCGGGUUGUAAACCUCUUUUAUCGGGGAGCAAGCGAGAGUGAGUUUACCCGUUGAAUAAGCACCGGCUAACUACGUGCCAGCAGCCGCGGUAAUACGUAGGGUGCAAGCGUUAUCCGGAAUUAUUGGGCGUAAAGGGCUCGUAGGCGGUUCGUCGCGUCCGGUGUGAAAGUCCAUCGCUUAACGGUGGAUCCGCGCCGGGUACGGGCGGGCUUGAGUGCGGUAGGGGAGACUGGAAUUCCCGGUGUAACGGUGGAAUGUGUAGAUAUCGGGAAGAACACCAAUGGCGAAGGCAGGUCUCUGGGCCGUUACUGACGCUGAGGAGCGAAAGCGUGGGGAGCGAACAGGAUUAGAUACCCUGGUAGUCCACGCCGUAAACGGUGGAUGCUGGAUGUGGGGCCCGUUCCACGGGUUCCGUGUCGGAGCUAACGCGUUAAGCAUCCCGCCUGGGGAGUACGGCCGCAAGGCUAAAACUCAAAGAAAUUGACGGGGGCCCGCACAAGCGGCGGAGCAUGCGGAUUAAUUCGAUGCAACGCGAAGAACCUUACCUGGGCUUGACAUGUUCCCGACGGUCGUAGAGAUACGGCUUCCCUUCGGGGCGGGUUCACAGGUGGUGCAUGGUCGUCGUCAGCUCGUGUCGUGAGAUGUUGGGUUAAGUCCCGCAACGAGCGCAACCCUCGCCCCGUGUUGCCAGCGGAUUAUGCCGGGAACUCACGGGGGACCGCCGGGGUUAACUCGGAGGAAGGUGGGGAUGACGUCAGAUCAUCAUGCCCCUUACGUCCAGGGCUUCACGCAUGCUACAAUGGCCGGUACAACGGGAUGCGACGCGGCGACGCGGAGCGGAUCCCUGAAAACCGGUCUCAGUUCGGAUCGCAGUCUGCAACUCGACUGCGUGAAGGCGGAGUCGCUAGUAAUCGCGAAUCAGCAACGUCGCGGUGAAUGCGUUCCCGGGCCUUGUACACACCGCCCGUCAAGUCAUGAAAGUGGGCAGCACCCGAAGCCGGUGGCCUAACCCCUUGUGGGAUGGAGCCGUCUAAGGUGAGGCUCGUGAUUGGGACUAAGUCGUAACAAGGUAGCCGUACCGGAAGGUGCGGCUG
rnacentral:rRNA from 1 species